GAUGAACGCUGGCGGCGUGCCUAAUACAUGCAAGUCGAGCGAACAGAUAAGGAGCUUGCUCCUUUGACGUUAGCGGCGGACGGGUGAGUAACACGUGGGUAACCUACCUAUAAGACUGGGAUAACUUCGGGAAACCGGAGCUAAUACCGGAUAACAUUUGGAACCGCAUGGUUCUAAAGUGAAAGAUGGUUUUGCUAUCACUUAUAGAUGGACCCGCGCCGUAUUAGCUAGUUGGUAAGGUAACGGCUUACCAAGGCGACGAUACGUAGCCGACCUGAGAGGGUGAUCGGCCACACUGGAACUGGAACACGGUCCAGACUCCUAAGGGAGGCAGCAGUAGGGAAUCUUCCGCAAUGGGCGAAAGCCUGACGGAGCAACGCCGCGUGAGUGAUGAAGGGGUUCGGCUCGUAAAACUCUGUUAUUAGGGAAGAACAAAUGUGUAAGUAACUGUGCACGUCUUGACGGUACCUAAUCAGAAAGCCACGGCUAACUACGUG
rnacentral:rRNA from 1 species